GUUCGUUAAUUGGGUUUUGCUUUUCAAAAGCUGCUGCAGAAUUAAUUCACUUUUAUGUUGAUGGUAUUUGGAGAUUGAAUAGCACUUUUUCUUAGGAUUUAUUUGUGUGUGAGAUUUUAUUAUAGAAAUUGUCAUUUAAUUGGCAGUCAUGAGUUGUUGUCUUUGGUGAAGAAACACUCCAAGUUGUUAGGGAGAAGAAUUAGCUAGUUUUGUUUUUCUGUUGAUAAUGAACCGUGAUGUUGUAGAGAAUACGAGGAUAUGAUUUCAAUGAUAAAGUGGAUAGUACCGCUCCUUACUUUGUACGCAGUUGGGCACCUAAGGUAAAGAAGCAGCAUACAAUCGUGCCUUGGCUUGAUUUUGCACGAGGGAAAGUUGUUGGUUGGUUGUUUGUGGACUUCUGCCCAUAGCACGCUCAAGUAUAUGGUACUUAGACGUGACCUUUUUGUAAGUGGAAGAGUUGAUUUUGCUAAGGUGCUCACUAAAUUUACUUUCUCAACUAGUUGGAUAAUUUAGUCAGUGAAAGUUCAGCAGAUGUGGAUUGGAGGCACUCGUUUUAGUUGAAUUUGGUUUCACAUUCAUUAUACACAGUAACUGUGGCAAUUUGCAGAUAUUUCGUUCCUCACAUCAUAUCUUUACGUUCAACUUUAUGUAUAGUAUUUGCAGUAUUGCUAAAUAUUGCUCUGGAACUAGAGAAAAAAAUUGAAAUUUAAGAUUUUUCACCUGCUUAAAAAAAGUCUGUGCUGUUAGAAUACGAAUUAAUCCUAAAAUGGCAAGGUUUAUUAGCCAUGUUCCAAAGAACUCUGUGAUUGUGGAUUCUUGUUUGUUGAUUUUGUUUUCAGUCAACAAGUCCUUCGAAAUCAUCAAGCUGGUUAAGAUACACAGUUGUCUCCUAUAUAUAAGCUGGCAAGUCUUGAUUUGGGAGUCUUCUUGGUCAAUCCCCUGGGAAAACAGACAGACUCCACAUGAAAGGUCCAGGAGGACGGGGGGAAGUUGAAGUAGCUGUUUCUGGUGUUGCAGAUCAAAGCCAGCACGAUGGUGGCCCCUUUUCACCUGUUACUUUAAAGAAAGGAUUUGGGAUUGGCUCAGUUUUUUGAAAAGCAGCAUCUGUGGCAGAAAGCAUGAUCUUCUGAUGACGAGAUGUUGCCCCUCAAAUGCUGCUUAAUGUCCAUAUCAUUGCCCUGGGAAUAUAUCGUUUAUGAUCUUUUUAUUCAAGGUAAAAUCACUGUUUUUGCUUUUUUAUUCUUAAUGAAGAUAGGUUCAAUUUUUGAUUGUGUAAUUGUAUUACUCUUUACUAGAAGCGUCUUUAUUUCUAUAAUCUUUCUCAUUUUGCUAUUAGCUGUGCCAAUUGGUAAGCUUAAACUCAGUGUUGCAAUUUUAGGUUAUGAACAUUAUCUUUCCAUGUUCAUUCUUCUGUUGGGGGCUGGUACUGAUUUCCUCACAUGUACAAAAAUAGUGUUAAUGCAUUUAUUAAUUGCAAUAUCAGGGAAGUCCUCUAAAUAUACUACAUUAUCACUUGUGAAAAUUUACAAGGGACCAAGUGGUCGCCUGCAAGUGGAAAUUUAGUGUGGGAUUAGCAACUUUCGGAUGAUAAGCUUUAAUGGAACUUGUAAUUUAAGUAGUGGAUGAGAAUUCCCUUAAGUAGUGUUAUAGGGCUGUAUUGUGAUGUUGUGAUAAUCAAUCACGCAACUAAUGUAAGCGCCAGGUGAUGAUUUCCACUCUCGAACUUCAAUAGGCGUCCUUUUCAUUUAAAGCAGCCGAAUGUUUGACAUUUUAGCAGCGCAUUGGAUCAUUUGCCGGAUCAAAUUUGAACCUCAGCAACUCUUUUGUUGGAUGAAAUCUGAUGUCAGAAUCAUGUUGUCUAUGUGUCGUUUACAUAUUAAAAUCCAUUCCUACCAGGUUCAAUGUAUAGUUCUGUAAAGAAAGAAAAGCUCCGCAGGUACUUAUCAGGAUUUGAGGAUUUAAAUGUAAACUUGCUUGUGCGGGGAUGCUGCGACCAAUUAGCAUACCGGAUGCUAAUAAAGGCAAGAACUGGACGAUUCCCUUCGGCCUAUCCUCAUUAGUAGUUGGAUCUUUUCUGCCUAUGUCCAAGACUUUCCAAGACGCCCUUUUCCGUGCAGCUUAAGGUUUCUCCUUUUAUUAGCUGACGGGAGACUGUUGGUUCAUUCUCUUGCUUAUCUGAGUAGCUUUAUUCCAAUUCCUUGGCGUAUAAGCUUUGUCCCUUCCAUCGAAUGGUAUUCAAUAUUCUCCUCGCGAAACGGAUGCAGCUAAAGAAUUCGCCAAAAUAGUACGCAACCUUGUGUUAUUUGUUGUGCUCUCAUUUACGAGUCAAUGUCAUAUUGCUACGAUGCCUGUCGCGUAUAAAUUGAAUGUUUUGCCAUUUUCACGCUUUGUGUUUGUGUCUCUGGUGCCAAAGAAGUUGAUGAAAAGGAGAAUAAGAGGAGCGAAUAAAAAUUAUUUAUAACGUAAUUAACUGUAGAAUAAGCAUUUGAAUCAGAAACUGAUGUGGAAGCACGGGAGCCUUAGAUGAUUAGUGUACGCUUUUUAAUGCAGUUUUUAUUUUGUCGACAAUUCAAUGUAAGAAAUACAGAACACAUCCAUUUAAUGAUGAUUUUU